AUCAAGCUGACGAAUCCCAAACAGGACGAAAUGCGCAUCCUGGAU
rnacentral:hammerhead_ribozyme from 1 species